rnacentral:lncRNA from 1 species
UUGUUUUAAUGUAAUCUUCUUCUGCUUGAGAAGUAUUAAAGCCGUAUCCAACAGUGAAACAGAUGUGGAAAGGUAGUACCCAUUGAAAAGAAGAAUAGAACUAGGAUGGAAAGGUAAACCAUUUCUCUACUAUGUGAAGAGGAAUUAGGGAACGGAAGGGAAGGUGUGGACCAUUUAUAUGUGUGUGUACCAGGUAAUAACAUAAAAUUUAUUUCUUACUGUUGGUCUAAACUAAUUGUCAUUGCCAAUAAAAAAAAAAAUAGCUCUAGAGAGGUGGAACUUUUAAGAAACUUUUCCAUAACCAGAAGCCAC